rnacentral:lncRNA from 1 species
UCUGUGAGAUCUGACCUUGUCCUUCAUUUGGCUGAGAAGGGUAUCCAUGUAGUAUGUAGCACUUGUCUUUUAUGUGUCCCGAUCUUUUACAGUACUCACAAAAGAGUCUAGACCUACUAGAGCUGGCUUCAUUAGUGUUGGUGUUGGAUGUGUAGCUCGUUUUGAAGUUCUUAGUGCCUGAAGCACUUGCAGCUAGAGAAGCAGUUUCAGCAAACAUCUGGUUGUGUGGUUUGAUUUCCCUUUGUUUUUCUUCCUGCACAAGAAGUGCAAAUGCUUGUCCCAUAGAGGGUAGAGGAGUCAUCAUGAGAAUGCUUCCUCUCAUUAUUGUGUAAACCUCAUUUAGCCCCAUGAGAAAUUGGGUCAAAUGCCUGUCAUGUUCAGCCUUAUACGUGAUAUCUUUGGCACUACAAGUGCAUCGACAGUUGCAUAUGUGAUUAGCUGCUAAGGUAUUGAGUUCUUCCCACAAUUUCUUCAUUCUGGUUAGUAACCAGUAAUGUCAAAGGCACCUUGACUCAAAUCAUUUAUCUCUUUCUGAAUUUGAUACAAUUUCGCUCCAUUGGUUUGAUCAUAUCGGUCCUGCAGUUCUUUCCAAAGUUCCUCCGAGUUGGCGACAUAUUCAACACUGUCUGCGAUUUCCUUUGAAAGGGAAUUCAAAAUCCACGAAAUGACCAUAUCGUCACAUCUUUCCCACUGACGAACCGUCAUAGAUGGAGUAUCAGGUUUUGGGUAUUCACCGGUGACAAAAUCCAAUUUAUUCUUGACAGAAAGUGAUCUCAAAACACUUCUCUUCCAUGAGCGAAAACC